rnacentral:rRNA from 1 species
CGGGGUGCAGCAGGCGCGAAACCUCUGCAAUGCGCGAAAGCGUGACAGGGGAAGUCUGAGUGGCGGAAACUUAGUUUCCGUCUUUUGCCAAGUGUAAACAGCUUGGAGAAUAAGGGUGUGGGCAAGACUGGUGGCAGCCGCCGCGGUAACACCAGUGCCUCGAGUGGUACCCACGAAUAUUGGGCCUAAAGCGUCCGUAGCUGGACCUCUAAGUCCGCUGUGAAAUGUUGGGGCUCAACCCUAACGCGUGCAGUGGAUACUGUUGGUCUUGGGAACGGGGGAGGGUCGGGGUACUUCCAGGGUAGGGGUAAAUCCGUUGAGCCUGGAAGGACCACCAGUGGCGAAGGCGCCGAUCCAAAACGUGUCCGACGGUGAGGGACGAAAGCUGGGGGAGCGAACGGGAUUAGAUACCCCAGUAGUCCCAGCUGUAAAUGAUGCAGACUGUGGUGUUACACAUGAGUAAUCAUGUGUAGUGCUGUAGCGUAGGUGUUAAGUCUGCCGCCUGGGGAGUACGAUCGCAAGAUUUAAACUUAAAGGAAUUGGCGGGGGAGCAC